CUUUCUUUUCCCCAGAAGUCAGAUAAAUUCUCGUCCGUGCGGCUCGCCCGUGCCUGCCUCUCAGCAGGAUCCUGUUGGAGCUUCAUCUGGACUGAUUCUGGAAGUGGUGACUGCAAGAAAGAAGUUACCAGUUUCCCACAUAUCACAACUGACAGGUCAUAACUAAAAAGGCUCUAAAUGAAAUAGAUGCUUAUCUUGAGAAUCAAGGAGAAGCUGGAGCUGAACCAACAUGCAGUGGAUUCAGGAUACACCUUUCUGUCUGCUCCAGUGAGGCAUCCAAACAGCCAAAUUAAAGGGGACUCAAUCUGAUUUCCUACGAAUGGGACUACUUGCAUGGAUUUUAAUUUUUAAGUAGGAAUAUUCUGGCUUUCAAAGAGGGAAUUUGGGAGCAGAGGUAUGAGAAGGCUUAUUUUCAGAAAUGGACAUGCUGCAAUCUAUUUAUGGUUUUUAUCAUAAACGAUGUUUUCCUUGCAUGGGUCUAAACUGUGCCCUUGGUUACUGAAUGCAAAUCUGCUGAUUUAAAUGGAGUUCAUUGCAAGUGGGAACAGGACUUAGCCAUCGUUUUCCUCUGCUGUCUAAUCACUGUAGUCUGAAGAAAAGCAACAUAUGUAUAAUGGUAGCUGAGAUGCAGGAGGGGUGGAAGCUUUCUACCAAUGAGAACCACAUUAAAUAAUUAAUUCCCAAUUGCCUUUCUACAUUAGUGCUUUCGGCUAUAAAAGCUGGUCAGCUUUGUAAGGCCCCAGGCAAUGAAACAUUUGGUGCAUUGUCAGUCCAAAAGUGGAGGUAAUAGAUAUCCAGAGUGGCUGGAAAAGUGCUGCUCUCCAUCCUGCCAUUUACAUAUUCCAGCUGCACAGCCUCAUUCCUUAUUCCUUCCUUUGCCUCACUGAAGUUUGACAGCACAGCCUCCCUUUUGAGCUGCCUGCUGAAGAAG